rnacentral:rRNA from 1 species
CCUUGCUUAGCCACACCCCCAAGGGAACGCAGCAGUGACAAACAUUAAGCCAUGAGCGAAAGCUUGACUUAGUUAGGGUUAACAGGGCCGGUAAAACUCGUGCCAGCAACCGCGGUUAUACGAGAGGCCCGAAUUGACACAUCACGGCGUAAAGUGUGAUUAGAGAUAAACCAAACUAGAGCCAAACACCCCCUAUGCUGUCAUACGUCAUGGGGGUCACGAAGACCAACAACGAAAGUGGUUCUAAUAACCUAAUCUUGAACUCACGACAGCCAAGAUACAAACUGGGAUUAGAUACCCCACUAUGCUUGGCCUUAAACUAAGGCGAUAAACCUACAAACUUCGCCCGCCAGGGAACUACGAGCCCUAGCUUAAAACCCAAGGGACUUGGCGGUGCCUCAAACCCACCUAGAGGAGCCUGUCCUAUAACCGAUGAUCCCCGUUUAACCUCACCUCUCCUUGCCAAUCCCGCCUAUAUACCGCCGUCGCCAGUUUACCUUUUGAAAGAAUAACAGUAAGCAAAACGGGUAUUACCCAAUACUCAGGUCGAGGUGUAGCCAAUGGAGGGGGGAAGAGAUGGGCUACAUUUUCUGGAACCAGAAAACUACGAAGAGCACAAUGAAAUGUGUGCGGCCGAAGGUGGAUUUAGCAGUAAAAAGAAAGAAGAGAGUUCUUUUGAAACCGGCCCUGAGGCGCGUACACACCGCCCGUCA